GCCGAAGUGGCGGAAUUGGCAGACGCACUUGACUCAAAAUCAAGCGGUCUCUGACUGUGCCGGUUCGAGUCCGGCCUUCGGCACCA
rnacentral:tRNA from 4 species